rnacentral:snoRNA from 1 species
AUUCCACUAUGUUGACACUUUUGACUAUCUCCUUAAACCUCUCUCAAGCUUCAAAAAUAGUUUCAAACUCGUUCUGGUAGAAGUUAUGGAUUUCUCUUCUAAACUU